rnacentral:tRNA from 1 species
CCCCGCUUAGCUCAACCGUAGAGCGUUCGGCUGUAGACCGAAAGGUUGCUGGUUCAAAUCCGGCAGCGGGGA